rnacentral:rRNA from 1 species
AUUGAACGCUGGCGGCAUGCCUUACACAUGCAAGUCGAACGGCAGCACGGGUGCUUGCACCUGGUGGCGAGUGGCGAACGGGUGAGUAAUACAUCGGAACAUGUCCUGUAGUGGGGGAUAGCCCGGCGAAAGCCGGAUUAAUACCGCAUACGAUCUACGGAUGAAAGCGGGGGACCUUCGGGCCUCGCGCUAUAGGGUUGGCCGAUGGCGGAUUAGCUAGUUGGUGGGGUAAAGGCCUACCAAGGCGACGAUCAGUAGCUGGUCUGAGAGGACGACCAGCCACACUGGGACUGAGACACGGCCCAGACUCCUACGGGAGGCAGCAGUGGGGAAUUUUGGACAAUGGGCGAAAGCCUGAUCCAGCAAUGCCGCGUGUGUGAAGAAGGCCUUCGGGUUGUAAAGCACUUUUGUCCGGAAAGAAAUCCUUGGCUCUAAUACAGUCGGGGGAUGACGGUACCGGAAGAAUAAGCACCGGCUAACUACGUG